CUUAUUAGUUUAAACUGAAGAUCAACAUGUCCAAAAUACACAGAGACCCUCUGUCACGUAUGACAAAUGCACAGGGAGACUGCUGUUAUUUCCACAGUGACAGGAGGAGAUCCAGGAGGAGAUCCAGGAGGAGAUCCAGGAGGAGAUCCAGGAGGAGAUCCAGGAGGAGGUUCAGACUAACGGGGAGGAGACGGGACAUUUAUCUGCAGCCAUUUCCUGAGAUCCUGAGGUCUGAGACGGAGAGUGCAGCUGUGGAGAAGUGGCUUUUGUCAACGUUGACAUUCUCAUACAUCAAAGUGCUCUGACAGUUUAACGGUCAAAUGUUCAAACGUCUGCAUUUGUUAUAAAGUAUUUUAUUUUUUCUUUAUUUAGGCGUUAUUGAAUUCUUCUUGUUCUUAAUUUUCAUCUUUUUUUUUCUUUUCCUUCUUUUUUUCUUUUCCUCUUCUAACUUUUAAAAUAAUAAUUCUGACACAUUUACAUUCUGGUUUUCUGUUUGUAUACUAUUAUCUUUCAGUUUCGGUGUUCUUUUUCCUGCAUUUUCUGUUUUAUUUUGACAUCUUCCUCUCUGUGACUUCCUGUUUCUGUUGCUGAUGUGACGAUGCCUGAUGUGUGUCACCUGGGCUCCUCUGGUCACUGUUCCUUAUUUACUGUCAGCUCCUGUGUUUUUUCCUCCUGUAUAUUUGUAUAUUUAUUCUGAACUUUUGACAUUUCUUUCCUGCAGUUCCCGUUGCUCCACUGCUUCAUCACAGCCUCCUUGAUUCGAUGUUCCUCAGAUGUCUGACGGACAGAGCAGCUCCAUGUUUAAUGAGUUUCAUUAGAGAGCCACUACUGAGGAGGAAGGAACAAAACGAGCUAAAGCCUAAUGACGCAUUCAAUGACCAUCAGGAAUUGAGAAUUAUUGGUUGACUGUGGUGACAUCACCAUCAACGCCCUGAUGGACGUAACACAGAAGGUCAGAUUGAAGAGUUUUCUUCGCAGAGCAUUAGUCGUUGUUACUCAGCUUGAUGUCAUAACAGAGCCGUCCAGUGGGGGUAACCUUUACACCAAAGAAUUCACAGAGCUUCUGCCUUUGCUGUGUUUUUAUUCUUUUUGCAAAUUACACAGAAAUGUUCCAGAAUGGAAAACCUGAGCUGAGGUGAAAGAAAAACAGACACACAUGUAAACUUGAUCACUGCUGUCUGCACAAACAACAGCUGAACACAAACAUGAAGACACAUGUUCACGACCCGCAGGUUUGUUCCCAAAAAAAGCAAAAAUGACAGAAAUGAUUAGACCCAGAAAUAAAAAAAAAAAGUAAUAAUAAAAAUGUCUGAGUUGAGCUCACAUGAAUUCACAGAGAAAAUGUGUAUUUUACAGUACAAGACAAUCAUUAGUGUUAAAACAGGAUUUGUUUUGUUUUUCAGGUAAUCCUUGGGAUUAUGGCACCGGGUCUUCUGAGGAAGAUUCCUCACAUGCUCUUCAAAUGACCUGACCUCUGAUCCCACACCAGGUUAGUUCCAGGCUCUGUGGAGGUUCUGACAAUGUCUCAUCAUUCACAUUAACAUCUGAAUUCAGCCCUGGACCAUGACAGAGCCACUAUCACAAUAAACUGAAGAUUAGACUUAGACUAGUUUGUUGUUUUUUAUGACCAACACUUGAUUCUCAAACUGAUUUGGUUAAAAGACAACAAUGCAGUCAAAAAUUUAGUAUGCAAUAAAAACUUUAAAAUGUUUCUACUUAAAAUAAACUAAAAAAAAAAAAAAUCUUUUCUAAUCAUCGUAUUUAGUUUUCAACUUUUUUGUAAUUGACAAAGAUUAUUUUUAAACUUUUAUUAAUUAGCACACAAUACUUAACUGAAUCUGUUUUAUUUUUCUAGUUAAUUCUAUAGGAGUAAGGGGUUUGGCAAAAUUUUAGUUUUGUGCAACUCUGUUUGAAAUAAAACCACAAUAUUAUACAUAUAGUACAUACAUGAGCACCCAAGUGAUAAGAGGUAUAUGUAUAUCUGUGCGAAUGGAGACUGUCAACAGUGGUCUGGUAAACUCCCCAAACUGAAGUGAAACAUUAAGCACCAACCUUUUUUUCGUUUGGAUUUUUUUUUUUUUUUUGUAUUGCACGUCUGUACCAUUGUGAAAUUUUGUGGUAAGUGUUGCUGUAGUGGAGUGUGACAGCCGUCGGCCUAAUGCUGUACUGAGGAAUCUGACGACAAGAAGUGUUUUUU